UAUAAGCCCCUGUAUUUGCAUGUCUCAUGUAAGACUGUCUUGAAUGUUUUAAUAACAUUUUAAUGUUCCAGUUGCACAGGACAUCUUUCUGCCGGUCAAAAAUGUUGGGAGUGAAGUGCUGGUUUGUUCUUCCAAGAGACUGGAGAGUGACCAAGCUCAGAAGAAUUCCUCUUGUGAUAAUUCAGGGCAUGGUGUACACCAACAAGCGUUCCACGAGGAGUUCAGAAGAGAACUUGGAUUUGUUUUCACUUGUUCUCUUUGCCCCCCAGUGUUGCAACCUUGUGUCCUCCUCUUGUUAUAUAGAUAACAAACUGCUGACCUGACUUUAAA
rnacentral:lncRNA from 12 species